GAUAUCGUAGCGAAGUGGUAACGUAUUUGACUGAAUCAAAGCUCCUAGGAGGCGCAGGUUCGAAUCCUGCCGAUAUCG
rfam:Dictyostelium discoideum AX4 chromosome 2, whole genome shotgun sequence.